AGAGUUUGAUCAUGGCUCAGGAUGAACGCUAGCGGCAGGCCUAACACAUGCAAGUCGAGGGGUAGACAUCUUCGGAUGUUGAGACCGGCGCACGGGUGCGUAACGCGUAUGCAAUCUACCUUAUACUAAGGGAUAGCCCAGAGAAAUUUGGAUUAAUACCUUAUAGUUAAUUGAAAAGGCAUCUUUUUAAUUAUAAAGAUUUAUUGGUAUAAGAUGAGCAUGCGUCCCAUUAGUUAGUUGGUAAGGUAACGGCUUACCAAGACGAUGAUGGGUAGGGGUCCUGAGAGGGAGAUCCCCCACACUGGUACUGAGACACGGACCAGACUCCUACGGGAGGCAGCAGUGAGGAAUAUUGGUCAAUGGAGGCAACUCUGAACCAGCCAUGGCCGCGUGCAGGAUGAAGCAUCUAUGGUGUGUAAACUGCUUUUGUACGGGAAGAGAAAAAGCUACGUGUAGCUUACUGACGGUACCGUAAGAAUAAGGAUCGGCUAACUCUGUGCCAGCAGCCGCGGUAAUACGGAGGAUCCAAGCGUUAUCCGGAAUCAUUGGGUUUAAAGGGUCCGUAGGCGGCCUUAUAAGUCAGCGGUGAAAGUUUUUGGCUUAACCAAAAAAUUGCCAUUGAUACUGUAGGGCUUGAAUUAUUGUGAAGUAACUAGAAUAUGUAGUGUAGCGGUGAAAUGCUUAGAUAUUACAUGGAAUACCAAUUGCGAAGGCAGGUUACUAACAAUAUAUUGACGCUGAUGGAC
rnacentral:rRNA from 1 species